AUGUACUCCCUAGUAUCCUACCCGCCAAUCUCCCGAUCCUGCUCUCCUACAGCAGCUGUCUCUUCAAUAAACACAAAUCUUUCUUCAGGUGUUGUUAUUUUGAUAUAGUUUUGAGGCUGAAUAUUUCAGUCCAGGUUUGAAGCACUCAGUCUUCAUUACUGAUAUUUAAAUCCAGAAGAAACACAAUUACAAUUUAAAAAAAAAUAAAUACAAAUCUGUGUUGAAGUAUUUGUAUUGGGGUUGUUCAUUUUAAAUGCCACGUGUUUACAAUUACCAGUUCUAGAUUAAACAGCAGAAAUAAUUUUACUGGCUUGCCAGACACAAGAGCCUUUUCAUUUCACAGGCUAGCAGCCCACGUCAGUAUUUUAAUAGUAUUAUAUUUUCAUGCUUCUAGUGAAGAAUUGUUUUACUAUCAGUCAUAUUUUAAAACGGCCAGUUUCGAAAUAACCAAAGAAAACAACGAUUCUAAACCGGAACGUGCGUGAAGGAAUCAACUGUAGUUCUCUUUUAUAGCGGUUUAAAAUGUAUCUAAAAGUAUAUACGGGUGUUUGUAAUAAUUUAAUCACAGACGUAGAAAUAUAACCAAGAUUCACGACGACCAUUGUAUUGAUAGAGCAGUUGUUUAAAUAAAAGAGCAGCGUCAGUUUUGGAAAUGUCACAUUUUAUAUUUGUGUCAGUUUUUAGUUAAGUAAAUUGGAAAACUACAAGCGGCGUGUAUUUCAGUAUGCUAACGUGACGUUUUUCAGCAGGUUUCAUUUGAUUUUAUGAAGCAGAAUUAGUUAACACUCAAUUCAACCCCUCGACAGCAGUUCUACUAAAUGUCCACACGAGGGCAGCAUUGGCUAGGAAAUGAAAGCUAAAGCCUCGUCUGUCUCCCUGAAGUUCGCUACCAAUUGUAAAGAGCAGAGGACAGCUCAGCCGGAGGCGUGUGUCUGUGUGAAACGACUUUAUUUCAUGUGAUAAGUUUGUGGAAGAAGGACGCCAUGUGAGGAGGCGUUUGCUAUUGUUUUACACAGACUACGAGGGACAGCGCUCGUUAAACCAGGUCUGUGAGGAUGAGAAGGUCUCCACAGUCUGGAGUCUGGUCUCUGACAGGCUCAACAUACCUGUCAAUCAACAGGGACUCCUCUACAAAGGCAAGGCGCUGGCAGAUGAGCACAGACUGUCACAUGACUCCAUCGCUCCCGAUUCCAAGCUGAACUCGUUGUGACGCCCCCAACAGAGAAAGUGUCACCCGAGCAAGAACAGCACUCCGUGUCACCCCUCCUCUCAGACCUCACCCCUCACCCUCGCCUCACCCCUCCUGUCACACCUCACCCCUCGCCACACCCCUCCUCUCACACCUCACCCCUCCUCUCACCCCUCUCCUCAACCCUCCUGUCACCCCUCGCCCCUCCUCUCACCCCUCGCCUAACCCCUCCUCUCAUGCCUCGCCUCACCCCGGGUCAGUGUGGCACAGCCUGCCUGCUAUUCUGAACAAACACUUCAGCCCUGCCGACGCAGUGAGAGUCUGGAGCAGCAACACAAGGAUUACGAGCGGAGGCUGCGCUUAUUGAGCCUGGAUGAUAUGGAGCGGCUGGCGACCCGCAUGCUUCACCCUGAGGCAAUGGGGAGUGCAUGGAGCUGUCCUUCCUGGACUGAGCAAUACUGCUGCUGCCCUCUCCACCUCUCCCCUCUCUCCUCCCCCUCUCCUUACUUUGUUUAAAAGAAUAGAAGCACACCCAGUGAGCAAGGUAUUGAGCAGCCCCACAUCCCGCUUCACAAUACCGCUACAUAUUGACUGACUGUUCGCAUUGUGUGUGUUUGGUAAGACAAACCACAUUUUCUCCUUUCUGCUAUUUUAAAAGGAGCCCAGUUUGGUGCAGGAGGCUUGUGGGUAACAGAGUGUGUUUUUGCUGGGGACUGCAGCCCUUCCAUUACCAUUGCUCGUAGAGGGGAGAUUGUUUUACUUUCAAGCCUUUUUCUUUAAUAAAUCCGGACGUUUGGAAAUACA